CCUGGUGGCUCACCAAGCUGAGGAGUUCUGAGGUGCUGGGUGUGAGGCCUCUGCAUGUGACCCCGCUAUGAGCAAGUGGAAGUAGUUGAAGCGCAAAGGAUAAAGAGCACAGAAAAUUUGAAGAAAUUCAAGAGGUGCUGGGCACUAGUCACCAAGGAGAAAGGACAACAAAGGAAAAGCAACGUCAACUAUAAAAAAACCUUUUCAGUGGAUCCCUUUGUGGAUCAGGAGAAAAAUCCAGCUUAUUUCCUCUAUUCCUUGUUCACACUGAAACAGAAUGACAUAGAUAUCAGUUACCAGGCCAACACUGCCUGCGUCUGCACGGUUGAAGAAGAUCUUGGGGGCUGCUUGAAAUGAG